GUCGAACGGUAGCACAGAGAGCUUGCUCUCGGGUGACGAGUGGCGGACGGGUGAGUAAUGUCUGGGAAACUGCCUGAUGGAGGGGGAUAACUACUGGAAACGGUAGCUAAUACCGCAUAACGUCGCAAGACCAAAGAGGGGGACCUUCGGGCCUCUUGCCAUCAGAUGUGCCCAGAUGGGAUUAGCUAGUAGGUGGGGUAACGGCUCACCUAGGCGACGAUCCCUAGCUGGUCUGAGAGGAUGACCAGCCACACUGGAACUGAGACACGGUCCAGACUCCUACGGGAGGCAGCAGUGGGGAAUAUUGCACAAUGGGCGCAAGCCUGAUGCAGCCAUGCCGCGUGUAUGAAGAAGGCCUUCGGGUUGUAAAGUACUUUCAGCGGGGAGGAAGGUGUUGUGGUUAAUAACCGCAGCAAUUGACGUUACCCGCAGAAGAAGCACCGGCUAACUCCGUGCCAGCAGCCGCGGUAAUACGGAGGGUGCAAGCGUUAAUCGGAAUUACUGGGCGUAAAGCGCACGCAGGCGGUCUGUCAAGUCGGAUGUGAAAUCCCCGGGCUCAACCUGGGAACUGCAUUCGAAACUGGCAGGCUAGAGUCUUGUAGAGGGGGGUAGAAUUCCAGGUGUAGCGGUGAAAUGCGUAGAGAUCUGGAGGAAUACCGGUGGCGAAGGCGGCCCCCUGGACAA
rnacentral:rRNA from 1 species